UUCAUAACAUCUGUCAUAGUUGUGAGACCGGAGCGAUUUUAAUAUUUCUUCCUGGAUAUGAUGAGAUAGCUUGAGGGACCGCAUUCUUUUUGAUGACAGGAGAUUUGCUGACCAUGCGCACAGAUUCUUUCUACAAAUACAGCAGAAACCAGCAUAACAGUCAAUGAUGUGGUAUUUGUUAUUGGCUCAGGCAAG